rnacentral:lncRNA from 10 species
AGGAAAGGUGGGUUUUAUGGAGGAGUUUGUUCUUAGAAGAAUGGGAAUACACCUUCAAGUUACUAAAUGAAACAAAACAGAAUCAAAAACAAAUUUUUUUUUGAGACGGAGUUUUGCUCUUGUUGCCCAGGCUGGAGUACAAUGGUGCGAUCUCGGCUCACCACAACCUCGGCCUGCCGGGUUCAAGCAGUUCUCCUGCCUCGGCCUCCCGAGUAGCUGGGAUUACAGGUGCGUACCACCACGCCUGGCUAAUUUUUUUGUGUUUUUAGUAGAGACGGGGUUUCACCAGGCUGGUCUUGAACUCCUGACCUCGUGAUCUGCCCACCUCGGCCUCCCAAAGUGUUGGGAUUACAGACAUGAGCCACUGCAUCCAGCUGACAAAUGUUAUAAUAGAAAAAUGGGCAAAGGACAUGGUCGGUCCUUUUAUAAAAGGGGAAACAGGAGGAAGGGUCAGUAAAUAAAAGACAAUGAACCUAACUUGUAAUUAGGGAGACGGCAUUCAUUUCCAUCAGAUUAGCAAUAAUUAAUACUCCUGAAAAGUGUUGGUGGUGAAGAAUAAAUUGCUUUUAUUUAAUUAAUUAAUUUUUCAUACAGUUCUGUUGCCCAGGCUGGAGUACAGCAUGAUCAUGGCUCACUACUUCUUUGAUCUAGGCUCAAGCAGUCCUCCCACCUUAGUCUCCUGAGUAGCUGAGAGUACAGGUGUGUGCCAACACACCCGACUGGUUGUUUUAAAAUUCAUUUUUUGUAUAUAUGGGGUGUCACUAUGUUGCUUAGGCUGGGUCUCGAACUCCUGGGCUCAAAUGAUCCUCUUGCCUUGGCCUACCAAAAUCCUGGGAUUACAGACGUGAGCCACCAUGCCCAGGCCAGCUCUUAUUUUAGAGAACAUUUUGGCAAUAUCUAGUAAAGUUGAAGCUGUGUACAACCUGAUACCUAGUAAGUCCACCUCUAGACGUAGGUGGUCUUUGACUAGCGUAUCACAUCUGGAGGUACAUGGCAUUUGCCGCUUAUUGGUGAUACUAGUUUUGUUUACUUAGGGUGGACCCAGUAAGUCCACAUUUAGACUUAGGGGUUUCUCUAGACUAGGAACUCUCAGACUAUAUACAAUAUUCUGUGCCUCAUAAAAUUGGACUCCUAUAGAUUUAGCGUUAAUUGCUGAUGAUAAAUACAUUAAAAAUGUUAAAUACAGCAUUCAUUACAAUGUGAAAUACACCAUUGUUGCUAAUAGAAAUCUGAAAACAGCACAUAUAUAUAUAGCUAUAUCAGUAGGGAAAAGGUUUAAUAAAUUGUGAUAUGUUCUUACUGUUGAAUCCUACAGCAGUGAAAGUGAUUUCUGAGAUUCCUGAUGUGUACUCCUAUUUAGCAGAACAGAUGAACCAGUUCAUAUUCCAACCAGCAAUAUAUGAAAAUGCCAGUCUUACUACACCUCAUAGUUCCUCAGUCUUCUAAUUAUUGACAAAAAGGUGCCUCAUUAUCUUAAUUUACAUAUUUAGAUAUUUAAUGCUUUUUCCAUGUGUUCAAACUGUAGGGAAUAAUAAAAUUAUCUGAUUUGAAUUUGAUAAGCCAGAUAGUAAAUAUUUUAGGCUUUCUGGACAUGUAAUUUCUGUUGCAGCUACUCUGAUGUUGUAGUAUGAAAGCAACAACAGACAGUACAUGAAUGAAUAUCACUU